ensembl:lncRNA
UGUGUUUGUGUGUGUGUGUGUGUGUGUGUGUGUGUGUGUGUGUGUGUGUGUGUGUGUGUGUGUGUGUGAAGUGUAAUCCUAAAACUCUGGAAAGAGAUCAAAAACAUACCCUGAUAAUUCAAAGGAACGGAUUACCACUUGCUGAGAUUUCACAUGAGACCAUCUGGACACAAACUCAACACUGUACGUGCAAAUCCAGCACUGUUCGUGUUAAUUCAUCACUACUGGCGCCUGAAACAAAAUCAGCACUCGGAGUGUGUAUUUGAACACUGCAGGCUCUGAUUCAUUACUGUAGGUGUUAGUUAGUAAAGGGCACUGGUGGCUUAAUGGUUAAAGGCUCUUAACCCUCUCUGCUCCAAGACUACAGUAUGAUGGCUGACUAAAUGCUCUGACUCCUGCUUCCUAACAAGCUGGGAAAUGCGAAGAAAACAAGUUCACUGUAAUGUAAUGUUGUUCUUUAUUGCACAGCUACUUCUCUGUGCCCCUGCAUGCAUGCUGCUGAAAUAGGAUUGUUGUGUGAAAUAGGAUUGAUUGGGGAUUAAUAAAGGUGCUGUCACGUGACCCAUACAUCCAGUCAUCCAUGCAUUUUCUGUACACCUUAUCCCACACAGAAGAGCCUGAAGCACAUCCCAUGGAACGAGACCGGGGACACCCUGGACAGGGUACCAACCCAUUGCAUGGCACAAUCGCACACACAUUCACACACACUACAGAUCAUUUUGAAACGCCAAUCAGCCCACAGCGCAUGUCUUUGGACUGGGAGAGGAAAUCGGAGUACCCGGUGGAAACCCCUGAAGCACGAGGAGAAUGGGGGGGAUUCGAACCCCCAACCCUGGAGGUGUGAGGCUAACCACUAAGCCACCGUGCCCCCCAUAAGAGGAUGAAAUGUGGAAACAAACAAACAAACAAAUCACAUCAUAAGUACAAACAUAAUAAGAUAGUGAGAUAUAGCAAGUAGAUACGAAGAAACUUCAUGCGCGCGCACGUGUGUGUGUGUGUGUGUGUGUGUGUGUGUGAGCACGCGCAUGGGUCAUUGGGGGGGGGGGUUGUCGGUCGUGCGCGCGGACUCCUCAGUAAAACAAGCAGCCAUCAGCGUGCAAACGAGUCCCACAGUUAUGGUACGUCACGGCGCCGGGAAUAAGACGUCGGACGGAUGAAAGGACGCGGUGUGUGUGUGUGUGUGUGUGUGUGGAGAAGCGGAGAGAUCAGAAUAGGCUACAUGAAGCCUCUUCAUCAGGCGCAGUGUUAUGACAGAGAUCCAUAUAGGCUGUCUAUACAGGGCAGAUGUGUCCGGGUCAGUGACGUUCUGUAUCAUCAUUUACAUAUUGUACUGUACUGUGUGUAGCCUAAUGUCAGACACAAAAGUGUGUAUUUAUAGGCUAUGGUCUACGUGUGCGUGCGUGCGUGCGUGCGUGCGUGUGAUAUUCCCUGCUGUAGGUUACAAAGAACGCGCUUCAGAAAACAAACCAAACCAAGACAAACAGCCACCGUAAACAGUUCAACCGAAAUGUUGACACAAAUAUAUAUAUUUAUAUUUCAUCUGUUUGAACAGAAACCAAAACCUGUUUUGGAUUAGUUUUACAUCUUGAACUGAUGCGUUGCAUCUUUGCUUCUAUUUCCU